rnacentral:rRNA from 1 species
GACGAAGGGGGCUAGCGUUGUUCGGAAUUACUGGGCGUAAAGCGCGUGUAGGCGGUUGCCCAAGUCGGGUGUGAAAGCCUUGAGCUCAACUCAAGAAAUGCACUCGGUACUGGGUGACUAGAGGACCGGAGAGGGAUAGUGGAAUUCCCAGUGUAGUGGUGAAAUACGUAGAGAUUGGGAAGAACACCAGUGGCGAAGGCGGCUAUCUGGACGGUUUCUGACGCUAAGACGCGAAAGCGUGGGGAGCAAACAGG